CCAUAUAGAGUGAGAGUUGCGACAACUCCAUUGACUCCAAUGGAACGCUUUUUUUACAGCAAUGGCGGCUCGUGGAGCCUCUAAAUAGUUCCCGGAAGUAGCAGCAAACCGAUGCCGCGCCGUAGAGAUGCAGCAGAACAAACCAUUUGCGACGCACUUUUAAAAGACCCAGGUAACUGGCUGACGGUUCACUGGAAUGCUGACUGGCUGCUGACUGACUUGCUGCUGGUUGACUGGGCAGUGUCACCUUUUCCUGUCUCGUCUCUAGCCAUGUCCUUUUUCUUCACUGUCACUUUCCCUUCUCUGAGUGUCCUCGUUCUUUUUUCCUUCUUUUCCUUUGAAACUGAUACAUGGUAGAAUACAUGGUAUUGCUAAUUUUAAAUAUUGAAAAUAUCACAUUACUUCAACUAGUACGAGUUUGUACAUAUUAUAUAUGAAUCACCUGAAAUAACAUAGCUGUAAUCAGCAGCCAUUUCUUGUAUGUUCACAGGUCUAGGGGUGCAUCGUGGAGCAGGGCCCUCCUCUUUUUGACCACAGGACGAUGUACAAAGAUUGUGGGAAUAGCAUCUGGUCUCAGCCUACUUUUGAAUUUUUUGGUCAUGACAAAUUGCUUUGCCUCAAUUUGCCUGCAGAGUGACUUCAGUUUAGUUUCCACAGACAACUUUUUUUUUGUCUACCCACAUACAGUACAUACACAUGGUGGUUAAAUGCACAGUUAUAGGUAACACUGAUGACUCACUGCAAUGUCUCACCAUGAGUCUCAGCUCCCUGGGUUUUGCAAGGCUUUGCUUGUUCCUUAUUUCUAGUAAAUCAUUUUCAAUGUAAAAAAGUGCAAAUAAAUUUAAGUAUAAUUACCUAACAA